GGGAAUGUGGCUUAGUGGUAGAGUGCUUGCCUACCAUGCAUGAAGCCCUAGGUUCGAUUCCUCAGUACCA
rnacentral:tRNA from 1 species